GAUGAACGCUAGCUACAGGCUUAACACAUGCAAGUUGAGGGGAAACGGCAUUGAGUGCUUGCACUGAAUGGACGUCGACCGGCGCACGGGUGAGUAACGCGUAUCCAACCUACCCAUUACUGUGGGAUAACCUGCCGAAAGGCAGACUAAUACCGCAUGGUCUUCGAUGACGGCAUCAGAUUUGAAGUAAAGAUUUAUCGGUAAUGGAUGGGGAUGCGUCUGAUUAGCUUGUUGGCGGGGUAACGGCCCACCAAGGCAACGAUCAGUAGGGGUUCUGAGAGGAAGGUCCCCCACAUUGGAACUGAGACACGGUCCAAACUCCUACGGGAGGCAGCAGUGAGGAAUAUUGGUCAAUGGGCGCGAGCCUGAACCAGCCAAGUAGCGUGCAGGAUGACGGCCCUAUGGGUUGUAAACUGCUUUUGUAUGGGGAUAAAGUCAAUCACGUGUGAUUGUUUGCAGGUACCAUACGAAUAAGGACCGGCUAAUUCCGUGCCAGCAGCCGCGGUAAUACGGAAGGUCCGGGCGUUAUCCGGAUUUAUUGGGUUUAAAGGGAGCGUAGGCCGGAGAUUAAGUGUGUUGUGAAAUGUAGACGCUCAACGUCUGACUUGCAGCGCAUACUGGUUUCCUUGAGUACGCGCAACGUUGGCGGAAUUCGUCGUGUAGCGGUGAAAUGCUUAGAUAUGACGAAGAACUCCGAUUGCGAAGGCAGCUGACGGGAGCGCAACUGACGCUGAAGCUCGAAGGUGCGGGUAUCGAACAGG
rnacentral:rRNA from 1 species